GCCACGUCCUGCGCGGCACGCCGGGAAGUGUAGUCCCCAUCGCCGCCGGCCAAUCUUCGCGCGGCACGGCGGGAAAGGUCUACAGAUCAUCUGUGCUAGGCAGUAGGUUGCUGAGAGACUGAAGAAAACACCUGAAGAUGGCACGUAAGACAUAAGACUUGUUGAGACUUCCUAACAGGAAUUCACAGGAAAAAAUAGGAUAGGUAGAUUGAGACUCACUAACAGAAGAGGGUCCAGUGGUGACAGGCUGGAUAGAAUAUUGCCUACAAGGUCCAGUGAUGAAGGCCUGAACAUGAGGCCAUCAGGAGAUCGAAUGGUGACGGGGUGGAGAAGGAAAUUGCUAGAAGGUACUCACAGUAUCCAGUGGUGGCCAGUUGGACUAUUGGACUCCCCUGUGAUCUGUUCUUCCCCAAGUUACUGCAGGGAGGAAGGUUUUAUAAGUUGAACUAUAUAAGCAGUAACAUCAUUACAUGGCUUUGUUCCAGUGUAUUACCGGCAUUCUAAGGAAAGUGGGAAGGUACAUUCUCUUUACAGAUAACUCUAGUUUGGCCUGUUCCCAGUGCCAUUUAGAUAAUACUCAUCCUGGCAAUGGUGUAGGCACACUUACAAUGUCACCUAGAGUUGGCAAGAGUCUUGAGAAGGCAAAGGGGCAAUGUCUUAUUUUUCCUUAGGGUUGCUACAGCUUCCCAGCUGCUAUAAAGUGAGCAGCUUCCACUACUAUGUGCCCCUGCCAUUGUCAUUGGACAGGGUCCAAGGAAGUCCCCAAAGUGGUGAGGGGAAACCUUGACUCCAUCCACCAUGGGACAGGUUUCAGGAUUGCUGGCUUCCAUCAGACACACACACACACACACACACACACACACACACAAAAUUCAGGAUGCAUCAGUAAGAGAUAUAAAGGGAUUUAUUAUGUAGAAUUUUAAAUAGACACUCAAAGAAAUAGAGUGGGUGGACGCUUAUUGGCUUAGCUGGGUAUAUUUAUGGGGAUUUGGGGGUGAAAAUCUGUAGAACUUGUGAAUUAUGAAAAGAGGGCAUUUGGUUUACAGAUGAAAGGUGACAGCUCUUUCUGCAGAGGAAAGGUGCCGGCCUAUUUGUAGGUGACAGCCAUCACAGGUGGUAGAGCUGUGGCCCAUCUGUAGGGAAAGGCCCAUUUGUAGGUAAAAGGAAAUGGCCAAGGCUUACUGUGUCUUUAAAGACCUUAGGAGUUUUUUUUUACUGGAUUGGUGUUCUGAACCUGCAGUUUUUAUUAAAAGUACAAUUUUUAAAUGAUAAUAUUUCUUGUCUCUGUUUUACCUAUCUUAUUUUUCCUAUCCUGCCUCAUCAUGAUGUAGUCUCGCUACAGGGCCCAAGGCAGUGGGGACAACCAACCAUGGACUAAAAGCUAUACAACCAUGAGCCAAAAUAAACCUUUCCUCUUUUUUAAAAUUGAUUGUCCCAAGUAUUUUGUCACAAGCCCUCACACUCACCAGUGCAUCUCCUUUACAAUAAAACUAAUCAUUUUAACAUAGUGCUUUCGGCGACUUCAUAAGCUAGUCUACUGAAUUAUCAAACGAGGGGCUUGUGGAACCCCCACGUUUAUAGCCAAUCAGUUAGAAGUACAGCUGGCCCCUGAAGCUUGGCUGGGUCUAAAGUGGGAGCCAUUGAGUAGAGGAUGUUGCUCUCAACCAGUAGGAUCUGAACUAAGUCUGAGUAUUUUAGUGUCAGAAUUGAAUUGCAGGACACCCAGCUGGUGUCAGAAUAAUACUUACACCUCUUUCAUUCUAAGAUGGGCACUGUCACAUUAUUAGUGAAAGCAGUUCUCUUUCUCUUAUAAACUAGACUGUGAAGAGAUUUUUUAUAAAAUUCCCUAAUCCCUGACUUAAAAAAACCUAAUUUAGUUAGGAAAGCUAUAGCCUGUAUAUGACUUUUCUCCUCAACCAGCAGCCGUUGUGUUUAAUGGUAAGAAACACUCAAGAAGGUUUUUAUAUUCUUAUUCACUUCCCACCCUUAUUCAUCUUGCUUCCUUACCCCAGAGUAUCUUCCCAGCCCCCCAUAAUGUCUAGAAUAUUAGUCACAUUGCAGUGUAGAUAUGUUCCAUUAGCCUUCCCUGACCCACCCUGGCUGGCUUGGUCCCCUUUGCCAUAUGCUAUGUGACAGUUUGUCCGUCCCACAUAACAAUUACCUUGCAGUAUUCUUGUUGCCACUUUCCAUGCCUUUUUCCACUCCCCUUGCCAAC
ensembl:lncRNA